UACGAAGGGGGCUAGCGUUGCUCGGAAUCACUGGGCGUAAAGGGCGCGUAGGCGGCCAUUCAAGUCGGAGGUGAAAGCCCAGGGCUCAACCCUGGAAUUGCCUUCGAUACUGUCUGGCUAGAGACCGGAAGAGGUAAGUGGAACUGCGAGUGUAGAGGUGAAAUUCGUAGAUAUUCGCAAGAACACCAGUGGCGAAGGCGAGUCCCUGGACAGGUCCUGACGCUGAGGCACGAAGGUCAGGGGAGCAAACGGG
rnacentral:rRNA from 1 species